CACUGGUCGAGUCGGCCUGCGCGGAAGAUGUAACGGGGCUAAACCAUGCACCGAAGCUGCGGCAGCGACACUUAUGUGUUGUUGGGUAGGGGAGCGUUCUGUAAGCCUGCGAAGGUGUGCUGUGAGGCAUGCUGGAGGUAUCAGAAGUGCGAAUGCUGACAUAAGUAACGAUAAAGCGGGUGAAAAGCCCGCUCGCCGGAAGACCAAGGGUUCCUGUCCAACGUUAAUCGGGGCAGGGUGAGUCGACCCCUAAGG
rnacentral:rRNA from 1 species